UUGGUCAAUGGUCUAACGACUGAACCAGUAACUUGGAAGAAUGUAAAGAUAUUAUAUAUUAAUAUUGUAACGAUUAAUUCGUAUAAAAUUCUAAAUAGAAUAAUGAUAAUGACAAUUUUCUAUUUAUAAGUCUUGACCAAAUUACGUGCCAGCAGUCGCGGUAAUACGUAGAAGACUAGUGUUAGUCAUCUUUAUUAGGUUUAAAGGGUACCUAGACGGUAAAUAAAACUUGAAUAGAGUACUUAUUUUCUAGAGUUUUAUAAGAGAAGGAAGAACUUCUGGAGUAGUGAUAGAAUACUUUGAUACCAGAGGGACUGGUCACGGCGAAGGCAUCNUUNUAUGUAAAAACUGACCUUGAGGGACGAAGGCUUGGGGAUCAAUAAGGAUUAGAUACCCUAGUAGUCCAAGCAGAAAAUGAUGAGUGUCAUAGGCUAGAUACAGAAUUUGGCCUAUAAAUGAAAGUGUAAGCACUCCACCUCAAGAGUACUAUGGCAACAUAUAAACUGAAAUCAUUAGACCGUUUCUGAAACCAGUAGUGAAGUAU
rnacentral:rRNA from 1 species